GACAGAGGGUGCAAACGUUGCUCGGAAUCACUGGGCGUAAAGGGCGUGUAGGCGGGACAGUAAGUCGGGCGUGAAAUCCCUGGGCUCAACCCAGGAACUGCACUCGAAACUACUAUUCUUGAGUGUCGGAGAGGAAAGCGGAAUUCCUGGUGUAGAGGUGAAAUUCGUAGAUAUCGAGAGGAACACCGGUGGCGAAGGCGGCCAACUGGACAGAUACUGACGCUGAGACGUCG
rnacentral:rRNA from 1 species